AACGUAGGAGGCGAGCGUUAUCCGGAUUUACUGGGCGUAAAGCGUGUGUAGGCGGUACGGCAAGUUGGAUGUGAAAGCUCCUGGCUUAACUAGGAGAGGUCGUUCAAAACUACCGAACUUGAGUUUAUCAGAGGAAGAUGGAAUUCCCGGUGUAGUGGUGAAAUUCGUAGAUAUUGGGAGGAACGCCCGUGGCGAAGGCGGCUCUCUGGACCACAACUGACGCUGAGGCGCGAAAGCUAGGGUAGCAAACGGGAUUAGAAACCCCAGUAGU
rnacentral:rRNA from 1 species